UUUGUUUUUAAGCAUAUUUGUUUUUAUUUUUUAUAUCGAAUUAAUAGAAUGAAUCAGAUUGAAGAUGAAGUUGCUGAAUUACUAAGAAAUGAUGACAAUAUUGAAGCAAG